GAUGAACGCUGGCGGCGUGCUUAACACAUGCAAGUCGAACGGAAAGGCCCCUGCUAGCAGGGGUACUCGAGUGGCGAACGGGUGAGUAACACGUGGGUGAUCUGCCCUGCACUUCGGGUAAAGCCUGGGAAACUGGCGCUAAUACCGGAUAGGACCACAUUUUGGAUGGUGUGGUGGAAAGUUUUUCGGUGUGGGAUGAGCUCGCGGCCUAUCAGCUUGUUGGUGGGGUAAUGGCCUACCAAGGCGAUGACGGGUAGCCGGCCUGAGAGGGUGUACGGCCACAUUGGGACGGGGAUACGGCCCAGCCUCCUACGGGAGGCAGCAGUGGGGAAUAGUGCACAAUGGGCGCAGGCCUGGUGCAGCGACGCCGCGUGGGGGAUGACGGCCUUCGGGUUGUAAACUCCUUUCGCUAGGGACGAAGCGAAAGUGACGGUACCUGGAGAAGAAGCACCGGCUAACUACGUG
rnacentral:rRNA from 1 species